rnacentral:lncRNA from 1 species
CUCAAGUAUCCCAGCCAUUUCGAACUGACGACUGACACUCCCAAGUGAGCGGCAAAUGCCAAUGUGGUGACGAGCGUGACCUUCACAGCAAACCAAGUAAGCAUCCCAAAACUUUCUUCUUCUCAAAGCCUACUUGAUAGCUGGACAGAUUGAAGCCGCCACCCUGCGCUCCUCCAGUGCUGAGAAGUAUCAUCUUCUGAGCAAACUUCGCGAGAAGGUACUCGUUGAGCGCGGUUCCACAGAGAGCUCCGACCAGGUAGAUCCAGCCGACGAGCCACGAAAGCCAGUGCAUGCCCGGACAGAGCUGCGCAACCCAGUAGUAGACGCUCCCAAGAGUCGGGAAGGUGGAGUAAACUUCGGCAAUAGCGAGCAGCACGCUCAAAGUUCCGAGAGUGGUGACGAGCAUUCCCCAGAAGAUGACGAGCGGGCCACCAUAGCAGUACAUGUAACCGUAGUAUCCAGUGACGAAGCCGAGCGGGGCGGUGUAGGAGAAAGUAUAGGCGAACUGCUGGAAAGGUGUCAUGACGCGCCGGUACUCCUGCUUGUAGCCGAGCUCGUUGAGCCGCCUCUCGUCCUCGUCUCCAUCGAGCUUUGGAUGGCGAGCUCCAUCAAGAUUUGGAUCGCGAGCUCCUCCGGCUUUUGGAUCAC